rnacentral:lncRNA from 1 species
GUGUAUAAUUUGAUCAAUAAAUUGGCUAUAUUCACCAUAUUAAGUAACAUUUGGGAAUAUAAACAAAAUUAAGGAGUGGGAAAACUGGUAAGAGAUAAGAAAAAUAUAUGCAUAUAGAAUGGAAGAUAACAAAAUACUGUACAUUUUGGAUAAUUUUUAAAGCAUCUAAGUUACCCUCCUUUCCCCCACUCCCAUUUUAUUUUUAACAACAAAAUCUACUUUUCUCUUAAAUCCAGUUAUCUAUGUAGUGUUUUGUGAACUGCAGUUUGGUGUUUUUUUCCUUUUUCUUUUGACAAUUACGUAAUCCCAGUCUUUUUUCAAUGUUUGAUUCUAUUAUGCCAUUUUCCUUAUUUUAAAUUUUUUGCUAAAUGAAAUAACUUGCUAUGGUUUCAACUUGUGUAGAAAUUCUUAACCAGUUGCUCCGCAGGGCACAGCUUGAUACAACCACAGAGGUCGAACCCUGAACAGUUUGGGCAAGUAUGGACACA